ensembl:lncRNA
UAGCUCGCUAGCCUGGGCUAUUUUCACCGCUCCAUCUAGCUUUAGGUCAGUCUCCCUUAUCAGUCUUUCCCUAACCUUCUUGUCAUCAAUUCCGAAUACGAUCUGGUCCUUUAUCAUCGAAUCUUUGAGGGUUCCAAAAUUGCAUGAUUGUGCUUUUAUCUUCAAGUCUGUGACGAAGCCGUCAACACUCUCCCCUGGCUGCUGCAGCCUUGAACGGAAUACGUAUCUCUCUAGGACCGCUACCGACACCUUGUGGCAACAUGUGGAACUACAGAUAUCACCACA